GCUUGGUCAAAUAACAUCAGGGUUAACAUGUGGUUAUCUGUUCUGUAGCUGCCCAGACAGGGGCGGGUGGAUGAAGCAGAAAAAUAACUGGUUGGUGAUGUUAUUUUAAGGCAGAGCUGAUACCAACAAGGGGCUUUAGAGAACACAUAUCUGUGAGGAUGAAGACUUUGAGUGCUGCUCUUGUUUUGCUGAGUCUCAUCUCAGUGGGCCAGCCUGCAUCGCUGGCCUGUGAGAAGCUGUUAAAGCCAGUCGACCAACGUCCAGAUCUGAUUGGGAGGUGGCACUUUAUAGCUGUGUCCACAGAGUUUUGCCUGUCUUCAACAUUAGUCAGUGCUUUAUUUUCCCCAAGUGCCGCAGUGGAUGUAAUUUCUAAGGGCGAACCAAACCUCUAUGGUGAUACUACUUAUUUGAAAGCGAAUGGAGUUUGUAUCAAUGGAACCUCAAGAUUUCUCUAUGCAAACAGCAGCAUAUUUGAACUCGACAGUGAAAAUGCCACAGUUGAUCAACCAGACGUGCUGCUGCACACUGGCUGUCCUGACUGCCUCGUCUCUAAAGAGGAUAAAAGUCAUCUUUUGCUCUUCAGUAGACGAACAGCUGUUUCUGCUGCUGAGCUGACGGAGUUUGAGACACAGGCAGAGUGUCUGGGAUGGUCUAAACCCCAACUCCUCAACACUGAUCAUGGUGAGACUUUUACAGCAACCAAAAAAAAAAAGGAACAGAUAGCACAUAUAUUAUGAAAAGUGUGUGCAAUUUGACGAAGAUAUGGAUGAGGAUAAAUUAAGCGAAGUGCUUCUGAGUUUCUUUCAGAAGACGCUUGAAAGGAUGAAAACCACAUAUCACUUGUUAACCAAAUGCAUGGCAGAGGGUUUUAUUUCAUAUUACCCCUCAUUGUUUUAAGAACUAAAUGUCCAGUGCAUGCUGAACUUUAUUUUCAUAUCUAAAUAUGACUUUUAAUCUAUAUAUGAAUGCCUCUUUUAAUUACUGAAUUGAGCUUUUUUUUCUUCAUUUAGAAGAAAAAGUUUUUUAAAUAAAAGUCUGUACGUCCAUGUAUGUUAAAAAUUUCUUUGCAAUUUAUGUGUGAGGCCAUAGCCAUGCUAGCAGUUCUAUGAGGCUCCAUAUAGACAUCAGUGUUUCGAACCAUGUAAUACAAAUAACAAACAACUAAAUAUCAAUGAUAGGAUAAUAGUGCAAACCAGGUAUUAUGUUUACCAUGAUAAUUUGUGGUGUAACUGUUAAAAAACAAUCACAGAUUGGUUUGUAACCUAUUUUGGAACCACAUUUGAUGCAUUUAUUUUAGGUUCUAAAUUUCUUUUCUUAGUUUUGUCUUAUUUUAAGUUUCAUAUAGCCAGAAAUUGGUGCUUUUAGCUCUUAAAAGACUCCUUGGCUCCAACAUUUGAACAGAAAUGAUGGCUUAUUGUAACUGUUGUUGUAAAAUCAAAAGUAAAAGGAUAAAAACAGAUAUUAUUGUUUUUAUAUUUUCCACAAAUUCUUAACAGUAAGUUGCUUUUCUUUGCUUUUACAUUUCAAUAAAUAUUUCUCAAAUCCUUAUGAGCUAUAUGGAUUGUCAUUUAGAACACCAAGAAUUUUGGUUUAUUAUCUUUAUGUUUGUUGUGAUUUUUGCAGAGCUGCAAAGGUUUAGGAAAGUAACUUUGAGGUUUGAAUAGAAAAUGUGCAUAAAUUGUGCCGUGCAUUUAUGAGAAACCCAUGAAUCCAUUCUCUUCCACUGGGCUGGAGGUUAUCUCUGAUUUAAAAAAAAUAUUUUUAUAGUUAUUUUUGUUUGUGAAAUAAUGGCAUCAUGGUCACAUUCGCUAUGGCCAUCUGCACUAUUCUUUUCUUUUCUUGUUACAAAAGAUGACCCAGUUUUCCUGCAGAGAAACUUCAUAAUGAAGAGAAAUUUUAAGUGCAUUAUAAUUCCUCUUAUAACCAAUUCAUAAACAGCUUGUGCUUUCAAACACAAUGCUCCAGCUUUUUUGAACAAUUUACAAAACUUAAUGUGAACACUGAAAUGGGAGUGUGGCAUGGACUUUAAUGUUGCUUAUUCUUCCAUAAUCAGGAUAAAUCACAUAUGUUCAAC
ensembl:lncRNA